rnacentral:rRNA from 1 species
AAUAGAUACCCGGUAGUCCACGCCGUAAACGAUGUCGACUUGGAGGUUGUUCCCUUGAGGAGUGGCUUCCGGAGCUAACGCGUUAAGUCGACCGCCUGGGGGGUACGGCCGCAAGGUUAAAACUCAAAUGAAUUGACGGGGGCCCGCACAAGCGGUGGAGCAUGUGGUUUAAUUCGAUGCAACGCGAAGAACCUUACCUACUCUUGACAUCCAGAGAACUUAGCAGAGAUGCUUUGGUGCCUUUCGGGAACUCUGAGACAGGUGCUGCAUGGCUGUCGUCAGCUCGUGUUGUGAAAUGUUGGGUUAAGUCCCGCAACGAGCGCAACCCUUAUCCUUUGUUGCCAGCGGUCCGGCCGGGAACUCAAAGGAGACUGCCAGUGAUAAACUGGAGGAAGGUGGGGAUGACGUCAAGUCAUCAUGGCCCUUACGAGUAGGGCUACACACGUGCUACAAUGGCGCAUACAAAGGAGAAGCGACCCUCGCGAGAGCAAGCGGACCUCAUAAGUGCGUCGUAGUCCGGAUUGGAGU